rnacentral:misc_RNA from 1 species
AAGUCGUAACAAGGUUUCCGUAGGUGAACCUGCGGAAGGAUCAUUAACACGUGUAUUCCACGUAUUAAUCUUAACACUAACCAACCACGAACACGUACUCCCCAGUUGAACCAACCUCUUGCUGUCUCAGUAUGGCUGCGGUGGGCGGGACUCUUCGGACUCCUUGUCACGUCAUACAGAAGCUGUCACUCCGGUCUUCGGAUUAGAGAGUGUGGCGGUAACCGGUUUGGCUGGGCUUCUAUUCUCACAUAUACCUCCAACCACCUUCGAGCAUAUGUGAGGAGCCCCCCCUGUAUUGACCAUAUUUAACCUAUUUGGCUAAUGUUUGGAUCGGGGAGACUUGGAGCUUGCUUCAUUUCUUUUGUCGGAUCCUACUAAGAUUUAUCUUAACUAAGUACAACUCUUAGCAAUGGAUAUCUUGGUUCUC